rnacentral:rRNA from 1 species
UACGUAGGGGGCUAGCGUUGUCCGGAAUCAUUGGGCGUAAAGCGCGUGUAGGCGGUCCGGUAAGUCCGCUGUGAAAGUCGAGGGCUCAACCCUCGAAUGCCGGUGGAUACUGUCGGGCUUGAGUACGGGAGAGGCGAGUGGAAUUCCUGGUGUAGCAGUGAAAUGCGUAGAUAUCAGGAGGAAUACCGAUGGCGAAGGCAGGUCUCUGGGCUGACACUGACGCUCAUGCACGAAAGCGUGGGGAGCAAACAGG